rnacentral:rRNA from 1 species
UUCGUCAAAGUUCAGAUUUGACUUAGUGGCGGACGGGUGAGUAAUGCAUGAGCAACCUGCCCUGCAGUGGGGGACAACAGUUGGAAACGACUGCUAAUACCGCAUGAUGUAUCUGGAAGGCAUCUUCCGGAUACCAAAGAUUUAUCGCUGUGGGAUGGGCUCAUGUCUGAUUAGUUAGUUGGUGGGGUAACGGCCCACCUAGUCUUCGAUGGAUAGGGGUUCUGAGAGGAAGGUCCCCACAUUGGAACUGAGACACGGUCCAAACUCC